CGGGAUGCAGCAGUGGGGAAUAUUGGGCAAUGGAGGGAACUCUGACCCAGCGACGCCGCGUGCGGGAUGAAGGCCUUCGGGUUGUAAACCGCUUUCAGCAAGGAAGAAGCGAAAGUGACGGUACUUGCAGAAGAAGCACCGGCUAACUAUGUGCCAGCAGCCGCGGUAAUACAUAGGGUGCAAGCGUUGUCCGGAAUUAUUGGGCGUAAAGAGUUCGUAGGUGGUUCGUUACGUCGGAUGUGAAAAUCUGGGGCUCAACCCCAGACCUGCAUUCGAUACGGGCGAGCUAGAGUUUGGUAGGGGAGACUGGAAUUCCUGGUGUAGCGGUGGAAUGCGCAGAUAUCAGGAGGAACACCAAUGGCGAAGGCAGGUCUCUGGGCCAAUACUGACACUGAGGAACGAAAGCGUGGGGAGCGAACAGGAUUAGAUACCCUUGU
rnacentral:rRNA from 1 species